GAUGAACGCUGGCGGCGUGCCUAAUACAUGCAAGUCGAGCGAACAGAUAAGGAGCUUGUUCCUCUGAUGGUAGCGGCGGACGGGUGGGUAACGCGUGGAUCACCUACCUAUUUUACUGGGGUGACUUCGGGAAACCGGUGCUAAUACCAGCUCAUAUAUUGUACCGCAUGGUUCAAUAGUGAUACGCGGUUUUGCUGUCACUUUUAGAUGGAUCCGCGCCGCAUUAGCUAGUUGGUAAGGUAACGGCCUACCAAGGCAACGAUGCGUAGCCGAGCUGAGAGGAUGAUCAGCCACACUGGAACUGAGACACGGUCCAGACUCCUACGGGAGGCAGCAGUAGGGAAUCUUGCACAAUGGGCGAAAGCCUGACGGAGCAAUGCCGCGUGAGUGAAGAAGGUCUUCGGGUCGUAAAACCCUGUUAUUAGGGAAGAACAGCAGUGUAAGUAAAUAUGCACGUCUUGACGGUACCCAAUGAGAAAGCCCCGGCUAACUACGUG
rnacentral:rRNA from 1 species